CCUACGGGUGGCAGCAGUGGGGAAUAUUGGACAAUGGGCGAAAGCCUGAUCCAGCCAUGCCGCGUGUGUGAAGAAGGCCUUCGGGUUGUAAAGCACUUUCAGUGGGGAAGAAAGCCUUGGGGCUAAUACCCUCGAGGAAGGACAUCACCCACAGAAGAAGCACCGGCUAACUCCGUGCCAGCAGCCGCGGUAAUACGGAGGGUGCGAGCGUUAAUCGGAAUUACUGGGCGUAAAGCGCGCGUAGGCGGUCUGAUAAGCCGGUUGUGAAAGCCCCGGGCUCAACCUGGGAACGGCAUCCGGAACUGUCAGGCUAGAGUGCAGGAGAGGAGGGUAGAAUUCCCGGUGUAGCGGUGAAAUGCGUAGAGAUCGGGAGGAAUACCAGUGGCGAAGGCGGCCUUCUGGACUGACACUGACGCUGAGGUGCGAAAGCGUGGGUAGCAAACAGGAUUAGAUACCCCAGUAGUC
rnacentral:rRNA from 1 species